rnacentral:sRNA from 1 species
AGAUGAAAUUGUUGUUCUUUGUCUCCUGAGCCUUUUGUGUAAACAUUAGUAUGGA